GCCUGUGUAAUCGCUUACAAACAGGCUGUAAGCGAUUACCAGGGGAGAGAGAACAUGAAUUUGAAAAUGAAAUCCCUAGGAGUGAGAAAACAGUGUUAUGGAGAGAGGAUAAAGUGCCAAAACGAAGGAGAAGCACUUUCGGAAUCCAAUCCUGAACCCUAUACAAAUCAGAUUUUUAAAUUAAAAAUAACAUUAAAAAUAGACCAAUUAAAAAGAACCACAAACUUCAAACUUCAAACAAACUCCAGAUUGAAGAAAAACAAAGAAAGA
rnacentral:lncRNA from 1 species